UCACGGUUUGCACCGGCAGUCUCGUUAGAGUUCCCGACAUGACUCGCUGGCAACUAACGACAGGGGUUGCGCUCGUUAUAGGACUUAACCUGACACCUCACGGCACGAGCUGACGACAACCAUGCAGCACCUUGUGAUCUGUCCGAAGAAAACUCUAUCUCUAGAGCUGUCAGACCACAUUUAAGCCCUGGUAAGGUUCCUCGCGUAUCAUCGAAUUAAACCACAUGCUCCACCGCUUGUGCGGGCCCCCGUCAAUUCCUUUGAGUUUCAUUCUUGCGAACGUACUCCCCAGGUGGGAUACUUAUCACUUUCGCUUAGCCACCCAGCUUGCGCCGGACAGCUAGUAUCCAUCGUUUACGGCGUGGACUAC
rnacentral:misc_RNA from 1 species